UGCUAUUGAUCUUUCUUCUGUUAACUGAAGCUUAUCUGAUUCAAUUCUUAAUGUAUGCGAUUUGGUUUCUUUGUGUUCCACUGGUGAUAAUGUGUUUUUUUUUUGGUUUUGGUUGUGUAGGUACUAUGCAAACGAUUAUUUGUAUUGUUCAGUUGCUGCUUUUCUUGGUCUGUAUUGAGGUUGGUCAUUGUCUAGAUAUCAGUAACAGUGUGCAAUCGGAAUUUGAAAGUGCUUUGAACUUGGAUCAUAAAGGAUUGUGGAUGUGCUGCUAGUGGUGCGGGGAACGCAAGUAGGGAUCCAAAUUUGAUCCCACCACCUCCUCCAACCAUUCCACCAAAUGUAAAGCCAGGAGUCCUGACUUCUCCCAAGUAUUCUAUUACGAGUAGGAAACAAUUGCUUGCAAACCACUUCAAACUCACUGUGAAAGCUCCAGAUUCUGUAUUCUACCAAUAUUCUGUAUGUCUACCUCAUGUCAUUCUUUUGCUGUGCAGUUUACUA